rnacentral:tRNA from 6 species
GCCGGAGUAGCAGUUGUUGGUCGCUGCACCUCGCUCUGAACGAGGAGUUCAUUGGUUCGAUUCCAGUCUCCGGUGC